UACGAGAGGCGCAACCGUUAUUCGGAAUUACUGGGCUUAAAGAGUUCGUAGGCGGCGCGAAAAGUAGGGUGUGAAAGCCCUCGGCUUAACCGAGGAAUUGCGCUCUAAACUACCGUGCUUGAGGAACCUAGAGGUGAGCAGAACUGAUGGUGGAGCGGUGAAAUGCGUUGAUAUCAUCAGGAAUACCGGAGGCGAAGGCGGUUCACUGGGGGUUUUCUGACGCUGAGGAACGAAAGCCAGGGGAGCGAACGGG
rnacentral:rRNA from 1 species